UCUUUGAAGAUUUUUUUUUUUUUUUUUUUUUUUUUUUUUAGUUUAGUUUGUUUUAGUAUUUUUAAAAAAUAAUUCAUUAAGUUUUAACUGAUAAGGUUAAUUUUUAUUAUUGGGGAAUAAUUUUUAGUACCUUUUGUAUCAGGGUAAUUUUAAAAAUUAAAUUUAUUUUUUUUUUCCCGAAUUAAAAUGAUUUAUCUUUAAUUUUUAUUAGUUGUUUUAUAAAUUUUAAUAAAUUUUUGUUAGUAAUUAAAAGUUAUUCGUUUUUUAGUAUAUCUGGUUACUUAAGAUUUAAUUUAAUUAUAGAUUUUUUUUAAAGUCAUAUUUAUAUGGGGGAUAAUCUCUAUUUUCUAUUAAAAUUUUUAUUAUUUUUUUUUUUAUAUUUUUAGUAUUUUAAAUUAAAGUUUUUAAUAAAUUAGAAAUAUUUAUAUCAGAUUUUUUAAUAUUUAUUUUUUUAUUAAGUUUUUAUAUUAAAUUUAAAUUUUAAAUUAAUAUUGAUUUAAUUAGUAUAAUAUUUAUAUAAAUUAUAAUGAAUUCGACAAAAAUUAGUGUUCAACUGUUUAACAAAAACAUUUCUUUUAGGAAAAUAUUAAAAGUAAUUUCUGCUCAAUGAUUAAAUUUAAAUAGCUGCAGUAUAUUGACUGUACAAAGGUAGCAUAAUAAUUAGUUCAUUAAUUGUGAACUGGAAUGAAUGAAUAUAUGAAAUGCUUGUUUUAUUUAUUUUAUUAUUAGAAUUUUAUUUUUAGGUUAAAAAGCUUAAAUAAUUUUUAGGGACGAUAAGACCCUAUAGAGGUUUAAUUUUAAUUUAAUUUUAAGUUAUUUUUGUAUAAUAUUUAUUUACUUUGAUUAUUUAGGAAUUUUUUCUGGGGCGGAUGAUAAAUUUGAACUUUAUUUUUUAUAUUCAUUUAUAUAUGAUUUUAUUGAUCCGAUAUAUUUAUUAUUCGAUUAUAAGAAAUAGCUACCUUAGGGAUAACAGCGUAAUUUCAAUGGGGAGUUCUUAUUUAUAUUGAAGUUUGCGACCUCGAUGUUGAAUUAAGAUUAGAUUUUGGGGUAGUUUUUAAUUUUCUAAGUCUGUUCGACUUUUAAAUUCUUACAUGAUUUGAGUUCAGACCGGUGUAAGCCAGGUUGGUUUCUAUCUUAAAAUCUUUUUAUCAAGUUAGUACGAAAGGACCAUUUAAUACAAUUCUAUAUUGUUUAUUUUAUUAAUAA
rnacentral:rRNA from 1 species